rnacentral:ncRNA from 1 species
GAGAGCUUUUUGCGGGGAAACUUGCAAGUACAGUUUGGGGGGAGACGGGCGUCGACCUAAC